AGCGAACCGGAUUAAGAAUACCCGGGUAGUCCCAGCUGUAAACGAUGCAGGCUAGGUGUUAGGGCGGCUACGUGCCGCUCUAGUGCCGCAGGGAAGCUGUUAAGCCUGCCGCCUGGGGAGUACGGCCGCAAGGCUGAAACUUAAAGGAAUUGGCGGGGGAACACCACAACCGGUUAACGCUAGGGUCUUGCAGGAUCAAAAAAAAAAAUCAUUAG
rnacentral:rRNA from 1 species